AUUGAACGCUGGCGGCAGGCCUAACACAUGCACGUCGAACGAGUGGCGGACGGGUGAGUAAUGUCUGGGAAACUGCCUGAUGGAGGGGGCUAACUACUGGAAACGGUAGCUAAUACCGCAUACCAUCGGAUGUGCCCAGAUGGGAUUAGCUAGUAGGUGGGGUAACGGCUCACCUAGGCGACGACCCCUAGCUGGUCUGAGCGGAUGACCAGCAACACUGGAACUGAGACACGGUCCAGACUCCUCAGGGAGGCAGCAGUGGGGAAUAUUGCACAAUGGGGGCAAGCCGGAUGCAGCCAUGCCGCGUGUAGGAAGAAGGCCUUCGGGUUUUAAAGUACUUUCAGCGGGGAGGCGUUACCCGCAGAAGAAGCAACGGCUAACUACGUGCCAGCAGCCGCGGUAAUUC
rnacentral:rRNA from 1 species